UUAAGCGACUAAGCGUACACGGUGGAUGCCCUGGCAGUCAGAGGCGAUGAAGGACGUGCUAAUCUGCGAUAAGCGUCGGUAAGGUGAUAUGAACCGUUAUAACCGGCGAUUUCCGAAUGGGGAAACCCAGUGUGAUUCGUCACACUAUCAUUAACUGAAUCCAUAGGUUAAUGAGGCGAACCGGGGGAACUGAAACAUCUAAGUACCCCGAGGAAAAGAAAUCAACCGAGAUUCCCCCAGUAGCGGCGAGCGAACGGGGAGCAGCCCAGAGCCUGAAUCAGUGUGUGUGUUAGUGGAAGCGUCUGGAAAGGCGCGCGAUACAGGGUGACAGCCCCGUACACAAAAAUGCACAUGCUGUGAGCUCGAUGAGUAGGGCGGGACACGUGGUAUCCUGUCUGAAUAUGGGGGGACCAUCCUCCAAGGCUAAAUACUCCUGACUGACCGAUAGUGAACCAGUACCGUGAGGGAAAGGCGAAAAGAACCCCGGCGAGGGGAGUGAAAAAGAACCUGAAACCGUGUACGUACAAGCAGUGGGAGCACGCUUAGGCGUGUGACUGCGUACCUUUUGUAUAAUGGGUCAGCGACUUAUAUUCUGUAGCAAGGUUAACCGAAUAGGGGAGCCGAAGGGAAACCGAGUCUUAACUGGGCGUUAAGUUGCAGGGUAUAGACCCGAAACCCGGUGAUCUAGCCAUGGGCAGGUUGAAGGUUGGGUAACACUAACUGGAGGACCGAACCGACUAAUGUUGAAAAAUUAGCGGAUGACUUGUGGCUGGGGGUGAAAGGCCAAUCAAACCGGGAGAUAGCUGGUUCUCCCCGAAAGCUAUUUAGGUAGCGCCUCGUGAAUUCAUCUCCGGGGGUAGAGCACUGUUUCGGCAAGGGGGUCAUCCCGACUUACCAACCCGAUGCAAACUGCGAAUACCGGAGAAUGUUAUCACGGGAGACACACGGCGGGUGCUAACGUCCGUCGUGAAGAGGGAAACAACCCAGACCGCCAGCUAAGGUCCCAAAGUCAUGGUUAAGUGGGAAACGAUGUGGGAAGGCCCAGACAGCCAGGAUGUUGGCUUAGAAGCAGCCAUCAUUUAAAGAAAGCGUAAUAGCUCACUGGUCGAGUCGGCCUGCGCGGAAGAUGUAACGGGGCUAAACCAUGCACCGAAGCUACGGCAGCGACGCUGAUGCGUUGUUGGGUAGGGGAGCGUUCUGUAAGCCUGCGAAGGUGUGCUGUGAGGCAUGCUGGAGGUAUCAGAAGUGCGAAUGCUGACAUAAGUAACGAUAAAGCGGGUGAAAAGCCCGCUCGCCGGAAGACCAAGGGUUCCUGUCCAACGUUAAUCGGGGCAGGGUGAGUCGACCCCUAAGGCGAGGCCGAAAGGCGUAGUCGAUGGGAAACAGGUUAAUAUUCCUGUACUUGGUGUUACUGCGAAGGGGGGACGGAGAAGGCUAUGUUGGCCGGGCGACGGUUGUCCCGGUUUAAGCGUGUAGGCUGGUUUUCCAGGCAAAUCCGGAAAAUCAAGGCUGAGGCGUGAUGACGAGGCACUACGGUGCUGAAGCAACAAAUGCCCUGCUUCCAGGAAAAGCCUCUAAGCAUCAGGUAACAUCAAAUCGUACCCCAAACCGACACAGGUGGUCAGGUAGAGAAUACCAAGGCGCUUGAGAGAACUCGGGUGAAGGAACUAGGCAAAAUGGUGCCGUAACUUCGGGAGAAGGCACGCUGAUAUGUAGGUGAAGUCCCUCGCGGAUGGAGCUGAAAUCAGUCGAAGAUACCAGCUGGCUGCAACUGUUUAUUAAAAACACAGCACUGUGCAAACACGAAAGUGGACGUAUACGGUGUGACGCCUGCCCGGUGCCGGAAGGUUAAUUGAUGGGGUCAGCGCAAGCGAAGCUCUUGAUCGAAGCCCCGGUAAACGGCGGCCGUAACUAUAACGGUCCUAAGGUAGCGAAAUUCCUUGUCGGGUAAGUUCCGACCUGCACGAAUGGCGUAAUGAUGGCCAGGCUGUCUCCACCCGAGACUCAGUGAAAUUGAACUCGCUGUGAAGAUGCAGUGUACCCGCGGCAAGACGGAAAGACCCCGUGAACCUUUACUAUAGCUUGACACUGAACAUUGAGCCUUGAUGUGUAGGAUAGGUGGGAGGCUUUGAAGUGUGGACGCCAGUCUGCAUGGAGCCGGCCUUGAAAUACCACCCUUUAAUGUUUGAUGUUCUAACGUUGACCCGUGAUCCGGGUUGCGGACAGUGUCUGGUGGGUAGUUUGACUGGGGCGGUCUCCUCCUAAAGAGUAACGGAGGAGCACGAAGGUUGGCUAAUCCUGGUCGGACAUCAGGAGGUUAGUGCAAUGGCAUAAGCCAGCUUGACUGCGAGCGUGACGGCGCGAGCAGGUGCGAAAGCAGGUCAUAGUGAUCCGGUGGUUCUGAAUGGAAGGGCCAUCGCUCAACGGAUAAAAGGUACUCCGGGGAUAACAGGCUGAUACCGCCCAAGAGUUCAUAUCGACGGCGGUGUUUGGCACCUCGAUGUCGGCUCAUCACAUCCUGGGGCUGAAGUAGGUCCCAAGGGUAUGGCUGUUCGCCAUUUAAAGUGGUACGCGAGCUGGGUUUAGAACGUCGUGAGACAGUUCGGUCCCUAUCUGCCGUGGGCGCUGGAGAACUGAGGGGGGCUGCUCCUAGUACGAGAGGACCGGAGUGGACGCAUCACUGGUGUUCGGGUUGUCAUGCCAAUGGCACUGCCCGGUAGCUAAAUGCGGAAGAGAUAAGUGCUGAAAGCAUCUAAGCACGAAACUUGCCCCGAGAUGAGUUCUCCCUGACUCCUUGAGAGUCCUGAAGGAACGUUGAAGACGACGACGUUGAUAGGCCGGGUGUGUAAGCGCAGCGAUGCGUUGAGCUAACCGGUACUAAUGAACCGUGAGGCUUAACCUU
rnacentral:rRNA from 1 species